UACAGAGGUCUCAAGCGUUGUUCGGAUUCAUUGAGCGUAAAGGGCGCGUAGGCGGCGCGGUAAGUCACUUGUGAAAUCUCUGAGCUUAACUCAGAACGGCCAAGUGAUACUGCAGUGCUAGAGUGCAGAAAGGGCAAUCGGAAUUCUUGGUGUAGCGGUGAAAUGCGUAGAUAUCAAGAGGAACACCUGAGGCGAAGGCGGGUUGCUAGGCUGACACUGACGCUGAGUGCGCGAAAGCCAGGGGAGCAAACGGG
rnacentral:rRNA from 1 species